CGGCGGAACACGUGAAAUUCCGUCGGAAUCCGGGAGGACCAUCUCCCAAGGCUAAAUACUCCCUAGUGACCGAUAGUGAACCAGUACCGUGAGGGAAAGGUGAAAAGCACCCCGGAAGGGGAGUGAAACAGUUCCUGAAACCGUGUGCCUACAAGUAGUUAGAGCCCGUUAAUGGGUGAUAGCGUGCCUUUUGUAGAAUGAACCGGCGAGUUACGAUUUGUUGCAAGGUUAAGCGGAAAAAGCGGAGCCGUAGCGAAAGCGAGUCUGAAUAGGGCGCAUAAGUAACAGGUCGUAGACCCGAAACCAGGUGAUCUACCCAUGUCCAGGAUGAAGGUAAGGUAAUACUUACUGGAGGUCCGAACCCACGCACGUUGAAAAGUGCGGGGAUGAGGUGUGGGUAGCGGAGAAAUUCCAAUCGAACUUGGAGAUAGCUGGUUCUCUCCGAAAUAGCUUUAGGGCUAGCCUCGAGGUAAAGAGUCAUGGAGGUAGAGCACUGUUUGGACUAGGGGCCCUUCUCGGGUUACCGAAUUCAGAUAAACUCCGAAUGCCAUGUACUUAUACUCGGGAGUCAGACUGCGAGUGAUAAGAUCCGUAGUCGAAAGGGAAACAGCCCAGACCACCAGUUAAGGUCCCCAAAUAUAUGUUAAGUGGAAAAGGAUGUGGGGUUGCUUAGACAACCAGGAUGUUGGCUUAGAAGCAGCCACCAUUGAAAGAGUGCGUAAUAGCUCACUGGUCGAGUGACCCCGCGCCGAAAAUGUACCGGGGCUAAACAUAUUACCGAAACUGUGGAUGAACCUCAUUAGAGGUUCGUGGUAGGAGAGCGUUCUAAGGGCGGUGAAGUCAGACCGGAAGGACUGGUGGAGCGCUUAGAAGUGAGAAUGCCGGUAUGAGUAGCGAAAGAAGGGUGAGAAUCCCUUCCACCGAAUAUCUAAGGUUUCCUGAGGAAGGCUCGUCCGCUCAGGGUUAGUCGGGACCUAAGCCGAGGCCGAUAGGCGUAGGCGAUGGACAACAGGUAGAGAUUCCUGUACCAGUGCUAAUUGUUUAACCGAUGGGGUGACACAGAAGGAUAGGGAAUCGCACGAAUGGAAAUGUGCGUCCAAGCAGUGAGUGUGAGAAGUAGGCAAAUCCGCUUCUCGCGAAGCAUGAGCUGUGAUGGGGAAGGAAAUUAAGUACGGAAGUUCCUGAUUUCACGCUGUCAAGAAAAGCCUCUAGGAAGAGUAGUACUGCCCGUACCGCAAACCGACACAGGUAGAUGAGGAGAGAAUCCUAAGGUGAGCGAGAGAACUCUCGUUAAGGAACUCGGCAAAAUGACCCCGUAACUUCGGGAGAAGGGGUGCUCUAUUAGGGUGCAAGCCCGAGAGAGCCGCAGUGAAUAGGCCCAGGCGACUGUUUAGCAAAAACACAGGUCUCUGCAAAACCGUAAGGUGACGUAUAGGGGCUGACGCCUGCCCGGUGCUGGAAGGUUAAGAGGAGUGCUUAGCUUCGGCGAAGGUACGAAUUGAAGCCCCAGUAAACGGCGGCCGUAACUAUAACGGUCCUAAGGUAGCGAAAUUCCUUGUCGGGUAAGUUCCGACCCGCACGAAAGGCGCAACGAUCUGGGCACUGUCUCAACGAGAGACUCGGUGAAAUUAUAGUACCUGUGAAGAUGCAGGUUACCCGCGACAGGACGGAAAGACCCCGUGGAGCUUUACUGCAACCUGAUAUGGAAUGUUUGUACCGCUUGUACAGGAUAGGUAGGAGCCGAAGAGACGUGUGCGCUAGCAUACGAGGAGGCAAUGGUGGGAUACUACCCUG
rnacentral:rRNA from 1 species